UCUUCCUAGGAGACCCGGGCGCUAGAGAUUAGUUAUGAGCCAUCUCCCUGCACCUAUAUCUGCCUAGCUUGGUAUCCCAGACUGUGACGCUCCGAAGGAACCCAUGGCUGUCCAUUGUCCCCACUUAAUUUUGUCCUCCACCUUGGGGAGCUGGGAGUGAAGCUGGGAGUCGGAAGAUCUGGGUUCUAUUCCUUGCUGAGCUGCCGUGUGACCUUGGUGACCCAGAAGGGGCCCAGCUGAAAACCGAGUG
rnacentral:lncRNA from 1 species